CCUACGGGUGGCUGCAGUGAGGAAUAUUGGUCAAUGGCCGUAAGGCUGAACCAGCCAAGUAGCGUGAGGGAAGACUGCCCUAUGGGUUGUAAACCUCUUUUAUGCGGGGAUAAAGGUGUCCACGUGUGGAUGUUUGCAGGUACCGCAUGAAUAAGGACCGGCUAAUUCCGUGCCAGCAGCCGCGGUAAUACGUAGGAGGCAAGCGUUAUCCGGAAUGACUGGGCGUAAAGGGUGCGUAGGUGGUUUGACAAGUUAGUAGCGCAACUCCGGAGCUCAACUUCGGAACUACUACUAAAACUGUUGGACUUGAGUGCAGGAGGGGCAAUCGGAAUUCCUAGUGUAGCGGUGGAAUGCGUAGAUAUUAGGAGGAACACCAGUGGCGAAGGCGGAUUGCUAGACUGUAACUGACACUGAGGCACGAAAGCGUGGGGAGCAAACAGGAUUAGAUACCCCAGUAGUC
rnacentral:rRNA from 1 species